GACGAACGCUGGCGGCGUGCUUAACACAUGCAAGUCGAACGGAAAGGCCCUGCUUGCAGGGUACUCGAGUGGCGAACGGGUGAGUAACACGUGGGUGAUCUGCCCUGCACUUCGGGAUAAGCCUGGGAAACUGGGUCUAAUACCGGAUAGGAGCCAUUUUUAGUGUGAUGGUUGGAAAGUUUUUUCGGUGUAGGAUGAGCUCGCGGCCUAUCAGCUUGUUGGUGGGGUAAUGGCCUACCAAGGCGGCGACGGGUAGCCGGCCUGAGAGGGUGGACGGCCACAUUGGGACUGAGAUACGGCCCAGACUCCUACGGGAGGCAGCAGUGGGGAAUAUUGCACAAUGGGCGCAAGCCUGAUGCAGCGACGCCGCGUGGGGGAUGACGGCCUUCGGGUUGUAAACUCCUUUCGCUAGGGACGAAGCUUUUUGUGACGGGACCUAGAUAAGAAGCACCGGCUAACUACGU
rnacentral:rRNA from 1 species